AUCAGAAAGAAAAAUCCACAGGACGCCUUAACAACAGACACAUUCUCAGCCAGACCCAUAUUGGAAAAGAAUACAUAUGGUCCCACAAAUGUUAGAGGUGUAUCUGAGACUCUCUGAAUCUAUGAACCUCUGCAUUUAUCUAUUUUAACUUAUAGGGAGGUUCCAACAUAAAAAAGAAUAAGCUAGCCAUUAGUGCUGCCCCCAACCAGAGUGAACAGACUUUUUAAAAGGCUGUGCAUGCUAUGAAACUAGAGGAUUCAAAUCCGAGUUCAACAGUUGUGAGAGAAGGAUAACCUGGAUGAGAUUCCCUGCAUUCUUAAAGUAACUCUGACAAUGAAGCCCAACCUGAGAGAAAUUAAAUACUUUUAUCAGGAUUAGCCUCCCAGGAUAUGGCAGAGUUUCGAUUUCAAUCCUGGUCUAUGAGUCUUCAGCAACCAUGGACACAAUUGAAGAAACUGGUUAUUUUUACCCAGGCUUUGACUGGAAUGACAUGCUUUCAAAUAUAAGCAGCCUGCUAUAAGGAACCAGACUUGACUUAUGGAACGAAGAAACUCAAAAUCGUACCAAUUAUAAUCUCACAAUACAGUGAAAUAAAAAUAGAAAUCAAUAUCAAG